AGCUUGACAUUGGUGGUUUAUAUCCAUACCGGAUUAAAAUGAAUUACUUAACACGCAACCGAGGAGAACAAAGACAUCUUUAACUGAGCCAGACAGACACCACAAAACUGGCCAGGCGUGAUGGGAAGUCGCCACCUACGCGAAGUCAAAGUCAGCAGCUGGGGAAUUUCAAAAAUUAUAGAAACAUUUGUCUGCGCUCAGCUAAGGUGACAGAAAUGUGAGCUGACGGGAGAUCGCGACGACAGAGAAAGAACAGCAUGCGGAGGGCACGCAGGCGGAGACCACACAGGGGGGGCAAAAGAACCGACCAACUCCACGGUCAACGGGAACGGCUCACUGCAGGAAACUCAGGAAGAGCGGAGGGGCCUCGGGACAAACUGGACAUUCACUGGGUUUAACUCGAGGAAAUAUUAAAGAGUGAUGUCCAAGCCGCCGUUUGCUGUUGAGACUUUAAAUGUUUUUUCAUUAAAAAAUUGGAAGAU